GUUGAAGGAUUUGGAAAAUUCCGCUAAAGAGGGUGAAAGCCCCGUAGACGAAAUGCUGACAACACCUAGGAGGAUCCUGAGUACGGCGGAACACGAGAAAUUCCGUCGGAAUCCGCGGGGACCAUCCCGCAAGGCUAAAUACUCCCUAGUGACCGAUAGUGAACCAGUACCGUGAGGGAAAGGUGAAAAGCACCCCGGAAGGGGAGUGAAAUAGAUCCUGAAACCGUGUGCCUACAACAAGUCAAAGCUCGUUAAUGAGUGAUGGCGUGCCUUUUGUAGAAUGAACCGGCGAGUUACGAUUGCAUGCGAGGUUAAGUCGAAGAGACGGAGCCGCAGCGAAAGCGAGUCUGAAUAGGGCGAAUGAGUAUGUAGUCGUAGACCCGAAACCAUGUGAUCUACCCAUGUCCAGGUUGAAGGUGCGGUAAAACGCACUGGAGGACCGAACCCACGUACGUUGAAAAGUGCGGGGAUGAGGUGUGGGUAGCGGAGAAAUUCCAAACGAACUUGGAGAUAGCUGGUUCUCUCCGAAAUAGCUUUAGGGCUAGCCUCGGAAUUGAGAAUGAUGGAGGUAGAGCACUGUUUGGACUAGGGGCCCAUCUCGGGUUACCGAAUUCAGAUAAACUCCGAAUGCCAUUCAUUUAUAUCCGGGAGUCAGACUGCGAGUGAUAAGAUCCGUAGUCGAAAGGGAAACAGCCCAGACCACCAGCUAAGGUCCCAAAAUAUAUGUUAAGUGGAAAAGGAUGUGGGGUUGCACAGACAACUAGGAUGUUGGCUUAGAAGCAGCCACCAUUUAAAGAGUGCGUAAUAGCUCACUAGUCGAGUGACCCUGCGCCGAAAAUGUACCGGGGCUAAACAUAUUACCGAAGCUGUGGACUACACCAUUAGGUGUAG
rnacentral:rRNA from 1 species